GCUGGGUGUGGUGGUGCACACCUGUAAUCCCAGUGGCUCAGGAGGCUGAGACAGGAGGAUCUCAAGUUCAAAGCCAGCCUCAGCAAAAGUGAGGCACUAAGCAACUCAGUGAGACCCUAUCUGUA
rnacentral:sRNA from 1 species